AUCUAAACCCGACCGGAGUGAGAUGCCGAUUUUUUCAAUCGGCAGAAACGGGGGCGGGACGGAAC
rnacentral:ncRNA from 2 species